rnacentral:lncRNA from 1 species
GGUAAAUUAUGUUCUGCUUCCACGCAAACAGCCUGAAGUCCACCUUGCCAAAUACUGCAUAUACUUGGUAGGUUCUGUUAUAACCCUUUGGUGAACUUGCCAAUACAUUCAAUGUAUUGACCCUAGUGGCUGCAUCGUUUAAUGAUGCAGGAAUCUCCGACGACGAGUAAGAUGUACGUUCUGCUUGUUUGGGUUACGGGCCUACAUUCCAACACGCUCUCACCGUGGUGUUGAUGUGCCCUUGUAUCUUUCGCUUUCCGCUGCUAAACAGUUGUUUUAUUUCCAGCUAACCCAUGAGGUUAUGCGAGUUGUAAGUACCUUUUAAAUUCUGGAUGAUUCGUUGUAAUAUUGAGACCUUUGUUCUAUGAUAUUACAUCUUGAAACUUUG